rnacentral:rRNA from 2 species
UACGGAGGGUGCAAGCAUUAAUCGGAUUUAUUGGGCGUAAAGGGCGCGUAGGCGGCAGAGAAAGUCAGAUGUGAAAUUCCGGGGCUCAACCUCGGAGCAGCAUCUGAAACUCCUCUACUAGAGGUAAGGCGGGGAAAAUGGAAUUCCACAUGUAGCGGUGAAAUGCGUAGAUAUGUGGAAGAACACCGGUGGCGAAGGCGAUUUUCUAGCCUUUACCUGACGCUGAAGCGCGAAAGCGUGGGGAGCAAACAGG